GUAGGGGGCUAGCGUUGUCCGGAAUCAUUGGGCGUAAAGAGCGCGUAGGCGGCCAGAUAAGUCCGGUGUGAAAGUCAAAGGCUCAACCUUUGAAUGCCGCUGGAAACUGUCUGGCUAGAGUCCGGGAGGGGCGAGUGGAAUUCCUGGUGUAGCGGUGAAAUGCGCAGAUAUCAGGAGGAACACCAAUGGCGAAGGCAGCUCGCUGGAACGGUACUGACGCUGAGGCGCGAAAGCGUGGGGAGCAAACAGGAUUAGAUACCCUGGUAGUCCACGCUGUAAACGAUGGGCACUAGGUGUGGGAGGUGUCGACUCCUCCCGUGCCGUAGCUAACGCAUUAAGUGCCCCGCCUGGGGAGUACGGCCGCAAGGCUA
rnacentral:rRNA from 1 species